rnacentral:lncRNA from 10 species
GUUUCCACCUUUAAUGUGGGUGGGCACUAUCCAGCCUGCUGGGGGUCUGGAGAAAAAAAACAAACCUGUCUAUCUGUUAGAACUGAGAUGCACUCUUUUUCUGCUGUCCUUGGACAGCAACUCCAGACUCCAUGGCCUUUUUAUUCUUUUUUUUUUUUUUUCUUGAGACAGAGUCUCGCCCUGUCGCCCAGACUGGAGUGCAAUGGCGUAAUCUCGGCUCACUGCAAUCUCCAUCUCCCUGAUUUAAAUGAUUGUCCUGGCUCAGCCUCCUGAGUAGUUGGGAUUACAGGCACCUGCCACCAUGCCUAGCUAAUUUUUAUAUUUUUAGUAGAAACGGGGCUUCACCAUGUUGGCCAGGCUGGCCUUGAACCCCUGACCUCGUGAUCUGCCCACCUCGGCCUCCCAAAGUGCUGGGAUUCCAGGAGUGAAUCAUCAUGCCCGGCCUUGCCUUUAUAUUCCAAGACUUACACAAGUACCAAGUCUCUCCUGGAUGUUCACACCUUUGGCUUUGGACUGAGAGUUACAUCUUCAACUUCUUUCGUUCUGAGGACUUUGGACUUGGACUGAGCUACACUACCAGCAUCUCAUCCUCCACCUUGCAGGAAAUCUGUUGCAGGUCUUCUCAACCACCAUAAUCAGAGAUCCCUGACCAAUACAUGGACAAAAUGUGACUUCAACUGAAAGCCAAAAAUAGCAAAUGGAGUUUGAUAUGCCACCUUGCCUGUCAAAGUGUGAUACAGAGUCCAGUAGCAUCAACAUCUCCAGGGAGGUUUUCAUAGAUUCAGUAUCUUAGGCCCCACUACAAAAUCAGGAUCUGCAUUUUCUCAAGAUCCUCAGAUAAAUUGCGGAAACAUUCAUGGAUAAGAAGCACUAAUAUAAGGAAUGUAUUCAAUGUGGGUUCAAAAACAUUGAUGAGAAAGAUGAAAUUCUUGGAUUUUUAUCUUAUUUUAUUCAAUUACUAUCAAGUUAUCUAAUUUUUAGAGAUCAAAAGAUAGCUUUAUAACGCCCCUUCUAUUUUUCUUAGGAUGAUCAAAGGGAUUAUGAAGAAA